rnacentral:rRNA from 1 species
GAGUUUGAUCCUGGCUCAGAACGAACGCUGGCGGCAGGCUUAACACAUGCAAGUCGAACGCUGUGGCAACACAGAGUGGCAGACGGGUGAGUAACACGUGGGAACAUACCCUUUGGUUCGGAAUAACUUGGGGAAACUUAAGCUAAUACCGGAUACGCCCUUUUGGGGAAAGGUUUACUGCCGAAGGAAUGGCCCGCGUCCGAUUAGCUAGUUGGUGAGGUAACGGCUCACCAAGGCGACGAUCGGUAGCUGGUCUGAGAGGAUGGCCAGCCACAUUGGGACUGAGACACGGCCCAAACUCCUACGGGAGGCAGCAGUGGGGAAUAUUGGACAAUGGGCGGAAGCCUGAUCCAGCCAUGCCGCGUGAGUGAUGAAGGCCUUAGGGUUGUAAAGCUCUUUCGCACGCGACGAUAAUGACGGUAGCGUGAGAAGAAGCCCCGGCUAACUUCGUGCCAGCAGCCGCGGUAAUACG